GAUGAACGCUGGCGGCGUGCCUAAUACAUGCAAGUCGAGCGAACGGACGAGAAUCUUGCUUCUCUGAUGUUAGCGGCGGACGGGUGAGUAACACGUGGAUAACCUACCUAUAAGACUGGGAUAACUUCGGGAAACCGGAUCUAAUACCGGAUAAUAUUUUGAACCGCAUGGUUCAUAAGUGAAAGACGGUUUUGCUGUCACUUAUAGAUGGAUCCGCGCUGCAUUAGCUAGUUGGUAAGGUAACGGCUUACCAAGGCAACGAUGCAUAGCCGACCUGAGAGGGUGAUCAGCCACACUGGAACUGAGACACGGUCCAGACUCCUACGGGAGGCAGCAGUAGGGAAUCUUCCGCAAUGGGCGAAAGCCUGACGGAGCAACGCCGCGUGAGUGAUGAAGGUCUUCGGAUCGUAAAACUCUGUUAUUAGGGAAGAACAUAUGUGUAAGUAACUGUGCACAUCUUGACGGUACCUAAUCAGAAAGCCACGGCUAACUACGUG
rnacentral:rRNA from 1 species